AGCGAACGCUGGCGGCAGGCCUAACACAUGCAAGUCGAACGGACCCUUCGGGGUUAGUGGCGGACGGGUGAGUAACACGUGGGAACGUGCCUUUAGGUUCGGAAUAGCUCCUGGAAACGGGUGGUAAUGCCGAAUGUGCCCUUCGGGGGAAAGAUUUAUCGCCUUUAGAGCGGCCCGCGUCUGAUUAGCUAGUUGGUGAGGUAACGGCUCACCAAGACGACGAUCAGUAGCUGGUCUGAGAGGAUGACCAGCCACACUGGGACUGAGACACGGCCCAGACUCCUACGGGAGGCAGCAGUGGGGAAUCUUGCGCAAUGGGCGAAAGCCUGACGCAGCCAUGCCGCGUGAAUGAUGAAGGUCUUAGGAUUGUAAAAUUCUUUCACCGGGGACGAUAAUGACGGUACCCGGAGAAGAAGCCCCGGCUAACUUCGUG
rnacentral:rRNA from 1 species